GUCUACAGCCAUGCCACUCUGAACAAGCCUGAUGUCUGAUCUCAGAAGCUAAACAGGGUCAGGCUUGGUAAGUACUUAGAUGAGAGACUACCUAGGAAGACCAGGUGCUGUAGGCA
rnacentral:rRNA from 1 species